CAGUGUGGAGCUGGACCUGAGGCUCAAUCUCACAACCCUGAGAUCACGAUCUGACCAGAAAUCAAGAGUUGGACACUUAACUGACUGAGCCACCCAGGUGCCCCAAAACAACACACUUUUAAAUCAUGGGUCAGGGACGCCUGGAUGGCUCAGAUGGUUAAGUGUCUGCCUUCAACUCAAGUCAUGAUCCCAGGUCCUGGAAUCGAGCCCCACAUCGGGUUCCUAGCUCAGCGGGGGGUCCUGCUUCUCCCUCUCCCUCUUUCUCUCCCUUUGCUUGUGCUCUCUAUGUCUCUCUCAAAUAAAUAAAUUAAAAAUCUUAAAGAAUAUAUAAUGAAUCAAAGAAGUCUCAAAUGACAUUAGAAAUGUUGAACAGCAAAUAUACCAAGUUUUUCAUGCUACUCUGUAGCACCUAGAAUACAUUAAUACGUCCUCUAUUAAUUGAAGGGUAUCUUAGGUGGGGUUCCCCAGAAGCAGAGCCUGAGACAGGGAUUCUUGUACAAGUGACUUAUUGGAGGAGCUCUCAGGAAGAGUGGAUUAAGGAAGUAAGGGGAGAGGAGAAGUCAGGAAAAGAGCAGCAAAGCUCUUUUAAGGAUAGCAAAGCUAUCCUUAGCAGGAGCCUACCUCUAGAACAUAAUAACACCAUACAAUUAACCCCCUUCAGACAAGGGGCUGUGGCCUUUACAGUAUCAGGCAGUCAUUGGCUGCAAGCCAAAGUGAGGGCUGUUUCCAGACAUCUCUGGGAUAGCCAGCUCCACUGGGCAGAGGUCAAUUCUCCAGAGAAAGGGAAGCCCUGAGCCAUAAGCAGUCAACACUUAAGAGUAGCUGGGGGCUGGGUGUGCUAGCCUGAUAAAAGGGUCUAUCUGGGCAGGGCAUCAGCAGCAUCCAUUAAAAAGGGUUUCAGAAGAAAUUUAUUUGUCAUGAGACGUCUAACACAUUUUCUUUUAUUUUGAGACAGAAAGGCAUCAUCUUUCACUAUGGUGUGUGAGCAUGGAAACAGCAUUUAAAAACAUGGUUUCCUUCUACUGUCACAAAAAAAUAAUUCUUAAAAAAAAAAAAAUCUAACGAGAGAGCAGCUUUGGAAUGGCAACUGCAAGAAACCUGUCCUUACAAUUAGCCACACAUCUAAGGAGACACUGAUGUGUGCUCAAGGGCAUUAGGUUGCCUCCAUAAGUGAGGUGAGCUUGGAGAACACCAGCCCAGGGGGUGCUCAGGCUCUCUGCUCUCAGAAGCCACAGCAGUGUUCCAGAACCAGGUGGAAGCCGGGGGUUCUCUUCCAGCUUUGCCAGGUUCGAGAGUGCUUUAAUGGGGAGCCCUCCUGGGCGAGGUUCCAUGACUCGGAGAGGUGGCCUGAGUCAGGGAAGUCGCUCAAUGGCAACUUAUAAGAAAUCCUCCAGACCCAUGUCCUCUCCAGUAUUUCAUAUUGUCAGUAGUGCUGUUCAUAACAGCAAAACCUAGAAACAUGCAAAUGUCCCCUCAGCGGUUGGGUAGGUUAAUAGGUCAUGAAAUAUGUACACAGUGGACUAUAAUAUAGCAUUUAAAAAUGAUCAACUGGGGAGCACCUGGGUGGCUCAGUUGGUUAAGCAUCUCUGUCUUCAGCUCAGGUCAUGAUCUCAAGGUCCUGCGAUCAAGCCCCGCAUCAGGCUCCAUGCUCAGUGGGAAGUCUGUAUCUCCCUCUCCUUCCUGCCACUCUGCCUACUUGUACUCUCUCUCUCCCUGUGUCAAAUAAGUAACAUCUUUUUUAAAAAAUGAUCAACUGCCAUGCCACACAAUAUAGAUAAUUUUAUCAAUAAAAUCAUAGGUGGAAAAA